rnacentral:tRNA from 1 species
GACCCGCUAGCUCAGUGGGAGAGCAACGGACUUUUAAUCCGUAGGUCCUGGGUUCAAGUCCCAGGCGGGUCACCA